GAUGAACGCUGGCGGCGUGCCUAAUACAUGCAAGUCGAGCGAACAGAUGAGGAGCUUGCUCCUCUGACGUUAGCGGCGGACGGGUGAGUAACACGUGGAUAACCUACCUAUAAGACUGGGAUAACUUCGGGAAACCGUAGCUAAUACCGGAUAAUAUAUUGAACCGCAUGGUUCAAUAGUGAAAGACGGUUUUGCUGUCACUUAUAGAUGGAUCCGCCCCGCAUUAGCUAGUUGGUAAGGUAACGGCUUACCAAGGCAACGAUGCGUAGCCGACCUGAGAGGGUGAUCGGACACACUGGAACUGAGACACGGUCCAGACUCCUACGGGAGGCAGCAGUAGGGAAUCUUCCGCAAGGGGCGAAAGCCUGACGGAGCAACGCCGCGUGAGGGAUGAAGGUCUUCGGAUCGUAAAACUCUGUUAUUAGGGAAGAACAAAUGUGUAAGUAACUAUGCACGUCUUGACGGUACCUAAUCAGAAAGCCACGGCUAACUACGUG
rnacentral:rRNA from 1 species